GCCUCCUGCAAACCCCAAAGUAUAGGAGGUCUUGCCUGCCCAGUGAUAAAUUAAACGGCCGCGGUAUUUUGACCGUGCGAAGGUAGCGCAAUCACUUGUCUUUUAAAUGAAGACCUGUAUGAAUGGCGGAACGAGGGCUUAACUGUCUCCCCUUUCCAGUCAAUGAAAUUGAUCUGUCCGUGCAGAAGCGGACAUAAAUAUACAAGACGAGAAGACCCUUUGGAGCUUAAGAUAUUAGAUCACCCACGUCAAGAACAAAGUUAAACUAAGUGGCACCUGAUCCCUAUCUUCGGUUGGGGCGACCAUGGGAGAAAACAAAGCUCCCACGCGGACUGGAAUUAUAAUUCUAAAACCAAGAAAGACAUUUCUAAGUAACAGUAAAUCUGACCAAUAAGAUCCGGCAAAUGCCGAUCAACGGACCAAGUUACCCUAGGGAUAACAGCGCAAUCCCCUUUAAGAGUUCAUAUCGACAAGGGGGUUUACGACCUCGAUGUUGGAUCAGGACAUCCUAAUGGUGCAGCCGCUAUUAAGGGUUCGUUUGUUCAACGAUUAAAGUCCU
rnacentral:rRNA from 1 species